CAAGAGUGGCAUAUAUAAGGGGGCGCCCCGAGCUCACACCGCAGCAGUCAUCCGCUCUCCGCUUCUGUCCACCACAUACGAUGAGGCUGCUCACGGUGUUUCUCCUCGUUGUGCUGGCUUUGGCGAUGGUGUUGGCGGCCCCUGCAGGACUAGACUCUGACCCGACGAUAGGAGAUGAGGACACCAGGUCCAACCUGUUCCUACUCAAGAAGAAGCUGCUCAAGAAGAAACUGCUGCUGCUUGGCUGACGCUCUACUGAGCCAUGGCUGGCUCGCUUUGAGUUGUGUGAUGUCCAUUUCGCCGCAGAAGUAGCCUACCGCCUAAGGAAUGCGUAAAACGUCAACAUCCGUCGUCUACUUCAUGACAACAUAGUUGUCUCGCUUUAUGUGAAUGUAUUAGUUAUAAUUUCAUAUUACAACUAAUUUAAUAAAAGUAUUCAUUAAAAUU